GGACACGAACCGAGCCGAGAGCUCGGCGGAAGUGCCCGAAGGGCCCGUUGAGUUCGGCGCCCCUCUGCCGGGAAGGAGGACCGGCCGCCGGCACGGGGGCGCCAGGUUGCCGAGGGAAGGGGGGCCACCCCUCAGCGCACGCCGCCGCCACACGCGUGACGGAGGGGCCGCUGGGGCAAGGCUGCGUGAAGUAGACGGUGCGGGCACACCCCUUCUAGAGCCGGAGCUCGCGCUGCACGUGAGAAGCUGCCGGGUUGCUCCGAAGGCACCGAGUCUCCACGUCUCCGUGCAAAGUGCCAUUAAAAGUAUUCAGAACCCUAACCCUUUUAAACCAGUCGUGAAAUACCUAACUUCUUCCGUCUUGUGGACUCCAAGCUGACCCGGAACUGACUGGAAGAGGAUGACCUUGAACUUCUGACCUCCUGCUACCACUGCCUGAGUGCUGGAUUUACAGGCUGUGCCACUUAUCCCAGUUUAGAUCAGUGCUGGGGCUCUAUCCCAGGGUUGCCUGUGUGCCAGGCACUCUAUCUGCUAAACUCCAUCCCUAACCUCAGCCCUUUCAUAUUGAAAUCCUGCAGUGUCAGCCUGCCUAGGCUGUGAGUUUCUCUGUCUGCUGUCAGAACUCACCCCGGUCCUAUACAGACUGGCCAACCUGUGACUCUGGCUCUUUACUUGGGCGUUCUGUGUUCCUGACUAUUCUAUCCAUCUUAUCAAGAGUGCUUCCCCCAUUUCCUGAGGCUGGGUAUCCUUAUGCCAACUCUUCUCCUAGACUACCACCUGUUGUUAGCUCACUUCUCUGGUUAUCAGGUGCUGCCUAUGGCACUGCGUUUCCUCCCAGCCCUGCUCCCACUCAGCCCAGCACGAAUGGUGUCCUUCCUCAUCCUGCUAUCUAUUCACUGCCCUACCCUCCCUGCACUGAGGACAGUAUGUUAAUGAUCUAUCACACCAGAAUUUUCAACCCGAAGAAAAUACAUAAGGUAUAUGUAUAGGUGUCAUAAAAUGUUAUAUAGAAGAAA
rnacentral:lncRNA from 1 species